CAGAACCUGCUGCCCAGAAUAAUGUGAGAAAGAGGACGGGCCAGAUCUGGGUUCAAAUCCUGGAUUGGCUACUUGGCAACUGUGGGGUCGGUGUCAACUUGCUCCACCUCUCUGAGCCUUGGGUUGCUCACAGGUGAAAGGAGAUUGAACUGUGGCUUCACCUCCAGGCCCUGGGGGCCUUCGUUGACCUGGGUUUCUGGCAUGGCUGGGGUUGCUGGGGCUGUGGGUAACAGAAGCAGGAUGAAAUUCAAGAACUCAACAGGGAAAGUAAAGAGCACAGAUGAGGAAAACUGCUGUGAUGCCCACCUGCUGGUGAGG